AUACGGAGGGUGCGAGCGUUGUUCGGAAUUACUGGGCGUAAAGGGCGCGUAGGCGGCCCGGCAAGUCUGGUGUGAAAGCCCGGGGCUCAACCUCGGAAGUGCACCGGAAACUGCAGGGCUUGAGUCCGGAAGAGGAGGGCAGAAUUCCCGGUGUAGGGGUGAAAUCCGUAGAUAUCGGGAGGAAAACCAGUGGCGAAGGCGGCCCUCUGGAACGAGACUGACGCUGAGGCGCGAAAGCGUGGGGAGCAAACAGGAUUAGAUACCCCAGUAGUCC
rnacentral:rRNA from 1 species